GACGAACGCUGGCGGCGUGCUUAACACAUGCCAGUCGAACGGAAAGGCCCUGCUUUUGUGGGGUGCUCGAGUGGCGAACGGGUGAGUAACACGUGAGUAACCUGCCCUUGACUUUGGGAUAACUUCAGGAAACUGGGGCUAAAACCGGAUAGGAGCUCCUGCUGCAUGGUGGGGGUUGGAAAGUUUCGGCGGUUGGGGAUGGACUCGCGGCUUAUCAGCUUGUUGGUGGGGUAGUGGCUUACCAAGGCUUUGACGGGUAGCCGGCCUGAGAGGGUGACCGGCCACAUUGGGACUGAGAUACGGCCCAGACUCCUACGGGAGGCAGCAGUGGGGAAUAUUGCACAAUGGGCGGAAGCCUGAUGCAGCAACGCCGCGUGCGGGAUGACGGCCUUCGGGUUGUAAACCGCUUUCGCCUGUGACGAAGCGUGAGUGACGGUAAUGGGUAAAGAAGCACCGGCUAACUACGUG
rnacentral:rRNA from 1 species